rnacentral:rRNA from 1 species
GGGUUGUGAGGUUAAGCGACUAAGCGUACACGGUGGAUGCCCUGGCAGUCAGAGGCGAUGAAGGACGUGCUAAUCUGCGAUAAGCGUCGGUAAGGUGAUAUGAACCGUUAUAACCGGCGAUUUCCGAAUGGGGAAACCCAGUGUGUUUCGACACACUAUCAUUAACUGAAUCCAUAGGUUAAUGAGGCGAACCGGGGGAACUGAAACAUCUAAGUACCCCGAGGAAAAGAAAUCAACCGAGAUUCCCCCAGUAGCGGCGAGCGAACGGGGAGCAGCCCAGAGCCUGAAUCAGUGUGUGUGUUAGUGGAAGCGUCUGGAAAGGCGCGCGAUACAGGGUGACAGCCCCGUACACAAAAAUGCACAUGCUGUGAGCUCGAUGAGUAGGGCGGGACACGUGGUAUCCUGUCUGAAUAUGGGGGGACCAUCCUCCAAGGCUAAAUACUCCUGACUGACCGAUAGUGAACCAGUACCGUGAGGGAAAGGCGAAAAGAACCCCGGCGAGGGGAGUGAAAAAGAACCUGAAACCGUGUACGUACAAGCAGUGGGAGCACAGAGCAAUCUGUGUGACUGCGUACCUUUUGUAUAAUGGGUCAGCGACUUAUAUUCUGUAGCAAGGUUAACCGAAUAGGGGAGCCGAAGGGAAACCGAGUCUUAACUGGGCGUUAAGUUGCAGGGUAUAGACCCGAAACCCGGUGAUCUAGCCAUGGGCAGGUUGAAGGUUGGGUAACACUAACUGGAGGACCGAACCGACUAAUGUUGAAAAAUUAGCGGAUGACUUGUGGCUGGGGGUGAAAGGCCAAUCAAACCGGGAGAUAGCUGGUUCUCCCCGAAAGCUAUUUAGGUAGCGCCUCGUGAAUUCAUCUCCGGGGGUAGAGCACUGUUUCGGCAAGGGGGUCAUCCCGACUUACCAACCCGAUGCAAACUGCGAAUACCGGAGAAUGUUAUCACGGGAGACACACGGCGGGUGCUAACGUCCGUCGUGAAGAGGGAAACAACCCAGACCGCCAGCUAAGGUCCCAAAGUCAUGGUUAAGUGGGAAACGAUGUGGGAAGGCCCAGACAGCCAGGAUGUUGGCUUAGAAGCAGCCAUCAUUUAAAGAAAGCGUAAUAGCUCACUGGUCGAGUCGGCCUGCGCGGAAGAUGUAACGGGGCUAAACCAUGCACCGAAGCUGCGGCAGCGACGCUUAUGCGUUGUUGGGUAGGGGAGCGUUCUGUAAGCCUGCGAAGGUGUGCUGUGAGGCAUGCUGGAGGUAUCAGAAGUGCGAAUGCUGACAUAAGUAACGAUAAAGCGGGUGAAAAGCCCGCUCGCCGGAAGACCAAGGGUUCCUGUCCAACGUUAAUCGGGGCAGGGUGAGUCGACCCCUAAGGCGAGGCCGAAAGGCGUAGUCGAUGGGAAACAGGUUAAUAUUCCUGUACUUGGUGUUACUGCGAAGGGGGGACGGAGAAGGCUAUGUUGGCCGGGCGACGGUUGUCCCGGUUUAAGCGUGUAGGCUGGUUUUCCAGGCAAAUCCGGAAAAUCAAGGCUGAGGCGUGAUGACGAGGCACUACGGUGCUGAAGCAACAAAUGCCCUGCUUCCAGGAAAAGCCUCUAAGCAUCAGGUAACAUCAAAUCGUACCCCAAACCGACACAGGUGGUCAGGUAGAGAAUACCAAGGCGCUUGAGAGAACUCGGGUGAAGGAACUAGGCAAAAUGGUGCCGUAACUUCGGGAGAAGGCACGCUGAUAUGUAGGUGAAGUCCCUCGCGGAUGGAGCUGAAAUCAGUCGAAGAUACCAGCUGGCUGCAACUGUUUAUUAAAAACACAGCACUGUGCAAACACGAAAGUGGACGUAUACGGUGUGACGCCUGCCCGGUGCCGGAAGGUUAAUUGAUGGGGUUAGCGGUAACGCGAAGCUCUUGAUCGAAGCCCCGGUAAACGGCGGCCGUAACUAUAACGGUCCUAAGGUAGCGAAAUUCCUUGUCGGGUAAGUUCCGACCUGCACGAAUGGCGUAAUGAUGGCCAGGCUGUCUCCACCCGAGACUCAGUGAAAUUGAACUCGCUGUGAAGAUGCAGUGUACCCGCGGCAAGACGGAAAGACCCCGUGAACCUUUACUAUAGCUUGACACUGAACAUUGAGCCUUGAUGUGUAGGAUAGGUGGGAGGCUUAGAAGUGUGGACGCCAGUCUGCAUGGAGCCGACCUUGAAAUACCACCCUUUAAUGUUUGAUGUUCUAACGUUGACCCGUAAUCCGGGUUGCGGACAGUGUCUGGUGGGUAGUUUGACUGGGGCGGUCUCCUCCUAAAGAGUAACGGAGGAGCACGAAGGUUGGCUAAUCCUGGUCGGACAUCAGGAGGUUAGUGCAAUGGCAUAAGCCAGCUUGACUGCGAGCGUGACGGCGCGAGCAGGUGCGAAAGCAGGUCAUAGUGAUCCGGUGGUUCUGAAUGGAAGGGCCAUCGCUCAACGGAUAAAAGGUACUCCGGGGAUAACAGGCUGAUACCGCCCAAGAGUUCAUAUCGACGGCGGUGUUUGGCACCUCGAUGUCGGCUCAUCACAUCCUGGGGCUGAAGUAGGUCCCAAGGGUAUGGCUGUUCGCCAUUUAAAGUGGUACGCGAGCUGGGUUUAGAACGUCGUGAGACAGUUCGGUCCCUAUCUGCCGUGGGCGCUGGAGAACUGAGGGGGGCUGCUCCUAGUACGAGAGGACCGGAGUGGACGCAUCACUGGUGUUCGGGUUGUCAUGCCAAUGGCACUGCCCGGUAGCUAAAUGCGGAAGAGAUAAGUGCUGAAAGCAUCUAAGCACGAAACUUGCCCCGAGAUGAGUUCUCCCUGACUCCUUGAGAGUCCUGAAGGAACGUUGAAGACGACGACGUUGAUAGGCCGGGUGUGUAAGCGCAGCGAUGCGUUGAGCUAACCGGUACUAAUGAACCGUGAGGCUUAACCUUACAACGCCGAAGCUGUU